rnacentral:rRNA from 1 species
CCCUUAGAUGUCCUGGGCCGCACGCGCGCUACACUGAUGCAUUCAACGAGUUUUACCUUGGCCGAGAGGCCUGGGCAAUCUUUUAAACCUGCAUCGUGAUAGGGAUAGAUUAUUGCAAUUAUUAAUCUUGAACGAGGAAUUCCUAGUAAACGCAAAUCAUCAAUUUGCAUUGAUUACGUCCCUGCCCUUUGUACACACCGCCCGUCGCUACUACUGAUUGGAUGUUUAAGCGAGGUUCUCGAACUGCUAGCGACUUAGCUUCGGUGAGGUCGCAGUGUGGGAAGUGAACCUAGCUUUGGUGUCUAGAGGAAGUAAAAGUCGUAACA